rnacentral:rRNA from 1 species
AGAGUUUGAUCCUGGCUCAGGACGAACGCUGGCGGCGUGCCUAAUACAUGCAAGUCGAGCGGACCGAAAGGAGAGCUCGCUCUCCUUUCAGUCAGCGGCGGACGGGUGAGUAACACGUGGGUAACCUGCCUGUAAGACCGGGAUAACUCGCGGAAACGCGAGCUAAUACCGGAUAGGUCCCGUGGCCGCAUGGCGACGGGAGGAAAGAUGGCGCGAGCUAUCGCUUACAGAUGGGCCCGCGGCGCAUUAGCUAGUUGGUGGGGUAACGGCCCACCAAGGCGACGAUGCGUAGCCGACCUGAGAGGGUGAUCGGCCACAUUGGGACUGAGACACGGCCCAAACUCCUACGGGAGGCAGCAGUAGGGAAUCUUCCGCAAUGGGCGAAAGCCUGACGGAGCAACGCCGCGUGAGCGAAGAAGGCCUUCGGGUCGUAAAGCUCUGUUGUCAGGGAAGAACAAGUACCGGAGUAACUGCCGGUACCUUGACGGUACCUGACCAGAAAGCCCCGGCUAACUACGUGCCAGCAGCCGCGGUAAUACGUAGGGGGCGAGCGUUGUCCGGAAUCAUUGGGCGUAAAGCGCGCGCAGGCGGUCCCUUAAGUCUGAUGUGAAAUCUUGCGGCUCAACCGCAAGAGGUCAUUGGAAACUGGGGGACUUGAGUGCAGGAGAGGGAAGCGGAAUUCCAUGUGUAGCGGUGAAAUGCGUAGAGAUAUGGAGGAACACCAGUGGCGAAGGCGGCUUCCUGGCCUGUAACUGACGCUCAGGCGCGAAAGCGUGGGGAGCAAACAGGAUUAGAUACCCUGGUAGUCCACGCCGUAAACGAUGAGUGCUAGGUGUUGGAGGGGUUUACCCUUCAGUGCUGGAGCUAACGCAUUAAGCACUCCGCCUGGGGAGUACGGCCGCAAGGCUGAAACUCAAAUGAAUUGACGG